rnacentral:rRNA from 1 species
UACGUAGGGGGCAAGCGUUGUCCGGAUUUAUUGGGCGUAAAGAGCGUGUAGGCGGCUUGGUAGGUCUCGCGUCAAAACCUGAGGCUCAACCUCAGUUCGCGUGGGAAACCACCUAGCUAGAGUCCGGAAGAGGAGAACGGAAUUCCCAGUGUAGCGGUGAAAUGCGCAGAUAUUGGGAAGAACACCAGUGGCGAAGGCGGUUCUCUGGGACGGUACUGACGCUGAGGCACGAAAGCGUGGGGAGCAAACAGG